GCACAAGCGGUGGAUGAUGUGGAUUAAUCGAUGCAACGCGAAAACCUUACCUACCCUUGACAUGUUCAGAAUCCCGGAGAGAUUUGGGAGUGCUCGAAAGAGAACUGGAACACAGGUGCUGCAUGGCUGUCGUCAGCUCGUGUCGUGAGAUGUUGGGUUAAGUCCCGCAACGAGCGCAACCCUUGUCGUUAAUUGCCAUCAUUAAGUUGGGCACUUUAACGAGACUGCCGGUGACAAACCGGAGGAAGGUGGGAUGACGUCAAGUCCUCAUGGCCCUUAUGGGUAGGGCUUCACACGUCAUACAAUGGUCGGUACAGAGGGUUGCCAAGCCGCGAGGUGGAGCCAAUCCCAGAAAGCCGAUCGUAGUCCGGAUUGCAGGCUGCAACUCGCCUGCAUGAAGUCGGAAUCGCUAGUAAUCGCGGAUCAGCAUGUCGCGGUGAAUACGUUCCCGGGUCUU
rnacentral:rRNA from 1 species